CGCGGCCUAUCAGCUUGUUGGUGGGGUAAUGGCCUACCAAGGCUUUGACGGGUAGCCGGCCUGAGAGGGUGACCGGCCACACUGGGACUGAGACACGGCCCAGACUCCUACGGGAGGCAGCAGUGGGGAAUAUUGGACAAUGGGCGGAAGCCUGAUCCAGCAACGCCGCGUGAGGGGUGACGGCCUUCGGGUUGUAAACCUCUUUCAGCACAGACGAAGCUGUCCGUGAGGGUGGUGACGGUAUGUGCAGAAGAAGCACCGGCCAACUACAUGCCAGCAGCCGCGGUAAUACGUAGGGUGCGAGCGUUGUCCGGAAUUAUUGGGCGUAAAGGGCUCGUAGGCGGUUUGUCGCGUCGGGAGUGAAAACACCGGGCUUAACUCGGUGCUUGCUUUCGAUACGGGCAGACUAGAGGUAUGCAGGGGAGAACGGAAUUCCUGGUGUAGCGGUGAAAUGCGCAGAUAUCAGGAGGAACACCGGUGGCGAAGGCGGUUCUCUGGGCAUGUCCUGACGCUGAGGAGCGAAAGUGUGGGGAGCGAACAGGAUUAGAUACCCUGGUAGUCCACACCGUAAACGUUGGGCGCUAGGUGUGGGAUCCAUUCCACGGGUUCCGUGCCGCAGCUAACGCAUUAAGCGCCCCGCCUGGGGAGUACGG
rnacentral:rRNA from 1 species